UACGGGGGGGGCAAGCGUUGUUCGGAAUUACUGGGCGUAAAGGGCUCGUAGGCGGCCAACUAAGUCGGACGUGAAAUCCCCAGGCUCAACCUGGGAACUGCAUCCGAUACUGGAUGGCUUGAAUUCGGGAGAGGGAUGCAGAAUUCUAGGUGUAGCGGUGAAAUGCGUAGAUAUCUGGAGGAAUACCGGUGGCGAAGGCGGCAUCCUGGACCGACAUUGACGCUGAGGAGCGAAAGCCAGGGGAGCAAACGGG
rnacentral:rRNA from 1 species